GGCCAGGUAGCUCAGUUGGUACGAGCGUCCGCCUGAAAAGCGGAAGGUCGCCGGUUCGACCCCGGCCCUGGCCA
rfam:Prauserella sp. Am3 HQ32_scaffold_9.10, whole genome shotgun sequence.